UGAGUGGUGCAGGUCCUCUGUGGCAGAAGAGUGUGGGGAAGCGGUUGGAGAGUCUCCUUCCCUCUUGAUGGAAGCAGACAACAGGAGGGACUGGAAGAAGAAAAGAACACAUGGCCCCAGACCAGCUUGCACAGCCCUGAGCCGGAAGCACACAAUUCUCUUGAAGUCCUCCCAAGCCUGGAAAACCAUGCCAAAUCGCCAGUGACAGCCCAAAGAAAGCAAUUUGGGGAAGAUGGAGCGGUCAUUUAUCCUUCAUCUCUGGAUGAACCUUAGGAUGUGACCUGCAUGCGGUGGCCACACUGUUCAUCCUCCAGCAAGGACCCUAGGAAGUGAGGGGUUCUGGUUCCCCAGCUACUGAUGUGCCAGGGUGUCCUGAUGCAUCCAUGGGCCCAGGAGCUAGAGGAAAGAAGCGGCCAC
ensembl:antisense Gm12843 predicted gene 12843